rnacentral:misc_RNA from 1 species
UCUCCGUUGGUGAACCAGCGGAGGGAUCAUUACCGAGUUUACAACUCCCAAACCCCUGUGAACAUACUUAUCGUUGGGCCUCCGGUGCCCGCUCCGGCGGGCCGCCACCGGACCCCCAAACUCUUGUCUUAUACAGUACCUUCUGAGUAACACGAUUAAAUAAAUCAAAACUUUCAACAACGGAUCCCUUGGUUCUG